rnacentral:lncRNA from 1 species
GGACUCUAUUUCGAAUUUUAUGGCUUCAAGCCAUUUCUCAGAGUUGGGCCUCUGCAUUGCAUCCAUAUAGGUGACUGGAUCCUCGUUGUUCUCAUUGAGCUCAACAAGAUCCCCAUCCCGGAUCAAGAAACCUAGGUAUCUAUCUGGCUGAUGCAGUACUCUAUCAGAUUGCCUUAAGGAUGUUUGUAUAUUGGGCUUCGGGUUUGAUCUUAUCAAAUCUGACUCAGAUUCAGUCACU